rnacentral:misc_RNA from 1 species
UCAAACUUGGUCAUUUAGAGGAAGUAAAAGUCGUAACAAGGUUUCCGUAGGUGAACCUGCGGAAGGAUCAUUAUUGAAUAAAUUGCCUUGGUGGGUUGUAGCUGGCCUCUUGAGGCAUGUGCACGCCUGUCUUGACUCUAUUCAUCCACCUGUGCACCUUUUGUAGUCUCUCACUUGAGGUUUAAAGCUUUUAUUCAGUUGAAACACACUGGAUUUGAGGAUUGCUUGCCACUUGCCGGCUUUCCUCUACUUGGCUUACACCUGAGCGAGGACUAUGUACUUUAUCACAAACCAUGUAGUAUGUUGCCAGAAUGUAAUAAAUGGGCCUUUGUGCCUAUAAAACCUUAUACAACUUUCAGCAACGGAUCUCUUGGCUCUCGCAUCGAUGAAGAACGCAGC